AUUGAACGCUGGCGGCAUGCCUUACACAUGCAAGUCGAACGGUAACGGGCCUUCGGGUGCCGACGAGUGGCGCACGGGUGAGUAAUACAUCGGAACGUGCCCGAUCGUGGGGGAUAACGGGGCGAAAGCUUUGCUAAUACCGCAUACGAUCUACGGAUGAAAGCAGGGGACCGCAAGGCCUUGCGCGGACGGAGCGGCCGAUGGCAGAUUAGGUAGUUGGUGGGAUAAAAGCUUACCAAGCCGACGAUCUGUAGCUGGUCUGAGAGGAUGAUCAGCCACACUGGGACUGAGACACGGCCCAGACUCCUACGGGAGGCAGCAGUGGGGAAUUUUGGACAAUGGGCGCAAGCCUGAUCCAGCCAUGCCGCGUGCAGGAUGAAGGCCUUCGGGUUGUAAACUGCUUUUGUACGGAACGAAAAGCCUUCUUUUAAUACAGGAGGGUCAUGACGGUACCGUAAGAAUAAGCACCGGCUAACUACGUG
rnacentral:rRNA from 1 species